GACGAACGCUGGCGGCGCGCUUAACACAUGCAAGUCGAACGGAAAGGCCUGCUUUCCCUUGUGGAUUGCGGGUACUCGAGUGGCGAACGGGUGAGUAACACGUGAGUGAUCUGCCCCCAACUUGGGUAUAAGCCUGGGAAACUGGGUCUAAUUCCCGAUAGGACUGCAGGGUGGUGCCUUUGGUGGAAAACGAUUUUCUAGUGGUUGGGGAUGAGCUCGCGGCCUAUCAGCUUGUUGGUGGGGUAAUGGCCUACCAAGGCGGCGACGGGUAGCCGGCCUGAGAGGGUGGACGGACACAUUGGGACUGAGAUACGGCCCAGACUGCUACGGGAGGCAGCAGUGGGGAAUAUUGCACAAUGGGCGGAAGCCUGAUGCAGCGACGCCGCGUGGGGGAUGACGGCCUUCGGGUUGUAAACUCCUUUCGACCGCGAGGAAGCCACCUGGUUGGAAGGGUGGUGACGGUAGUGGUAGAAGAAGCACCGGCUAACUACGUG
rnacentral:rRNA from 1 species